rnacentral:rRNA from 1 species
UACGUAGGGGGCGAGCGUUGUCCGAAGUUACUGGGCGUAAAGCGCGCGAGGCGGGGGGAUUAAGUAGAGGUGAAAAGGGCUGGGGGCUCAACCUCAUGCAGUGCCUCUCAUACUGGUUCUCUUGAGGGGCGGUAGGGAGAAGUGGAAUGGCUGGUGUAGCGGUGAAAAUGCGUAGAUAUCUGCAGGAAACACCCCGUGGCGAAAAGCGGGCGCGUGGACC